AUGAAUCAAAACUUUCAACAACGGAUCUCUUGGUUCUGGCAUCGAUGAAGAACGCAGCGAAAUGCGAUAAGUAAUGUGAAUUGCAGAAUUCAGUGAAUCAUCGAAUCUUUGAACGCACAUUGCGCCCGCCAGCAUUCUGGCGGGCAUGCCUGUUCGA
rnacentral:rRNA from 1 species